rnacentral:misc_RNA from 1 species
GAUGAAGAACGUAGCGAAAUGCGAUAAGUAAUGUGAAUUGCAGAAUUCAGUGAAUCAUCGAAUCUUUGAACGCACAUUGCGCCCGCCAGUAUUCUGGCGGGCAUGCCUGUUCGAGCGCCAUUUCAACCAUCAAGCCCCAGGCUUGUGUUGGGGACCUGCGGCUGCCGCAGGCCCUGAAAACCAGUGGCGGGCUCGCUGUCACACCGGGCGUAGUAGAUUUUAUCUCGCUCAGGGCGUGCUGCGGGUUCCGGCCGUUAAAAAGCCUUUUUUACCCAAGGUUGACCUCGGAUCAGGUAGGAAUACCCGCUGAACUUAAGCAUAUCAAUAAGCGGAGGA